GAUGAAUUGUCUUUGUAUUCUCAAGGAUUUCAAGCAUGUCACUCGUUGGGUGGUGGCACUGGGUCGGGGAUGGGGACCCUGUUGAUACCCAAGAUAAAGGAAGAAUACUCAGAUCGAAUGAUGCUUACAUUUUCAGUGUUUCCAUCUCCAAAAGUGUCUGACACAGUUGUAGAGCCGUACAAUGCUACUCAGUUAAUACCCCAGCUUGUUGAGAAUGCUAAUGAGUGUAUGGUUCUGGAUAAUGUGGCCCUCUAUGAUAUUUGCUUCCACACUCUAAAGCUCACUACUCCCAGUUGUAAGUCUCAGUUCUCCUUUAUUUGUAGCUUUUUAAAUGUAUUUUAUUCUUUAGAACGUAUCAAUGUGAAAAGUUUUUGUUCAUUCAUUGACUGUAUUGUUUUAUUAUAUUUCCUAAAGGUUCCAUUAUUAAAUCAGACUAUUUCAAGGCUGUAAAAUUCUUUUAGGCUGCCUGGGGUUUGCCAUCUCUAGCAUGCUUAUGCUGUGUAUAUUAAAAGUUGCACAGUUUCAUUCUACCAAGCAGAUAUUUUUUGGGUUCAAUUUUGAUGGAAUAUGCAUAAUAUUCAUAAUAGUUUGAAUUCUAUCAUCAAAGUACCAUAACUGCAGUGUAAUUAAUUUACAAUAUUUAGAAAACUGAAUCUUUCAAGGUCUCUUUUCUGAAAUUGUUUCAAGUUUAACCAUCGGUUUGGAGAUGGUACAAAACAAUGUUUUUUCUGAAUCGAGUUGUUUGUGAACAUUUGUAGAAAGAACUAAAUGCCAUUGUGUUUUUAAUUCUUAGAAAGGACUCUGUUUAUGCCAUUCCCACCUUGCCUUUGUGAGAAAAUUUACUCAUUGGUAUGUGAACAAGUUUUUAGAUAUGUAAUUCUUUGUUGAUCAAAUUUGGAACUAAGCAAUGAUUUAAUUUUUUAUCAUAUCCGAACACGUUUGGAAAUUUUUUUUUAAAGAUUAGAUAAACAUGCUCUAAGUAACAGUUAAGAAAAAAAAGAAAGACAAGAUGAUGCAUUUGAUAAGUUUAAUUUCUAAGCUGUAUCUCCAAAUGCCACAAGCGGUCAAGCACACUUGAAGUCUUUGGAGAAUAAGGAUGAUGCUAGUUUUAGUAUUUAAUUAAGCUUUCCAAUUUGUGGUUGAUUGCUGGAUCAUUUUCUUUUUGAAUGUGCACCAAAAUGAAUGAUUUUUGCUGAAGUCACUGGCACAUACUACAGGAGCUAAUGUUGAUACGAUGCUAGCAAAACUAACCAAAUGUUCUUGCCUUAUUAGAGCUAAUGUUGAUAUGAUGCUUUUCCGUUUCUUGCAGACAGGUGAUAAAACUUCGAGUUUGUAACAUGAUUAAUGUGAAUCAGUUUGUGUGUUGAAUUGUUGCGAGUUCAAUUCAGAAACAUUUAAAAGCCUCCUCAAGAAGCUUUAAUGCUCCCAUCUGUAGCCGGUACUUUAAGGUUCUGGAUAAUGGAGUUUUGCCGAAAAAUUAACCCGUCGUAGUUAAGGCUAAGCUUGUGUGGAAGAUUGCGGAGAAGAAA
rnacentral:lncRNA from 1 species